CCUACGGGCGGCAGCAGUGGGGGAUAUUGCACAAUGGGGGAAACCCUGAUGCAGCGACGCCGCGUGGGUGAAGAAGCGCCUCGGCGCGUAAAGCCCUGUCAGCAGGGAAGAAAAUGACGGUACCUGAAGAAGAAGCCCCGUCUAACUACGUGCCAGCAGCCGCGGUAAUACGUAGGGGGCAAGCGUUAUCCGGAUUUACUGGGCGUAAAGGGGGCGCAGGCGGCGUUGCAAGCCAGGAGUGAAAGCCCGGGGCCCAACCUCGGGACUGCUCUUGGAACUGCGUGGCUAGAGUGCAGGAGGGGCAGGCGGAAUUCCUGGUGUAGCGGUGAAAUGCGUAGAUAUCAGGAGGAACACCGGUGGCGAAGGCGGCCUGCUGGACUGCAACUGACGUUGAGGCCCGAAAGCGUGGGGAGCAAACAGGAUUAGAUACCCUUGUAGUC
rnacentral:rRNA from 1 species